GCCGAUAAAGGUAAACCGCGGGAAACCGCGGGGCGCAAAGCCGCAGGCCUAAGAUGUUUAUGGGUGGCAUAAGAUGCCACAAAGAGCGCCAAGAAAUGAUGGCGAAACCAUGUUGGUGACAAACACGUGAGCGCUGAUGUCAAAGAUCCCAUAAAUAUGAUGGCAGCUGGGUUGCCGGAG
rnacentral:ncRNA from 1 species